UACGUAGGCAGCAAGCGUUGUUCGGAAUUACUGGGCGUAAAGGGCGCGUAGGCGGGAUGGCAAGUCGGUCGUGAAAUCCCUCGGCUCAACUGAGGAUCGUCGAUCGAUACUGCCGUUCUUGAGGAUUGCAGAGGAGACUGGAAUUCCCGGUGUAGCGGUGAAAUGUGUAGAGAUCGGGAGGAACACCGGUGGCGAAGGCGGGUCUCUGGGCAAUUCCUGACGCUGAGGCGCGAAAGCGUGGGGAGCAAACGGG
rnacentral:rRNA from 1 species